UACGUAGGAGGCGAGCGUUGUCCGGAAUCAUUGGGCGUAAAGAGCGUGUAGGCGGCUCGGUAAGUCCGCUGUAAAAGUCCAGGGCUCAACCCUGGAAAGCCGGUGGAAACUGUCGAGCUAGAGUCCGGAAGAGGCGAGUGGAAUUCCUGGUGUAGCGGUGAAAUGCGCAGAUAUCAGGAGGAACACCAAUGGCGAAGGCAGCUCGCUGGGACGGUACUGACGCUGAGACGCGAAAGCGUGGGGAGCAAACAGG
rnacentral:rRNA from 1 species